CUACCGGGGUUUCUAAUCCUGUUUGCUACCCACGCUUUCAUGCCUCAGCGUCAGUUAUGGUCCAGAGAAUCGCCUUCGCCACUGGUGUUCUUCCUAAUCUCUACGCAUUUCACCGCUACACUAGGAAUUCCAUUCUCCUCUCCCACACUCUAGAUAUCCAGUUUGAAAUGCAGCUCCCAAGUUAAGCCCGGGAAUUUCACAUCUCACUUAAAUAUCCGCCUACGCAUCCUUUACGCCCAGUAAAUCCGGACAACGCUUGCCACCUACGUAUUACCGCGGCUGCUGGCAC
rnacentral:rRNA from 1 species